UGAGGAAUAUUGGUCAAUGGGCGCAAGCCUGAACCAGCCAUCCCGCGUGCAGGAUGACGGCCCUAUGGGUUGUAAACUGCUUUUAUACACCAAGAAAACUUCAGACGUGUCUGAAUCUGACGGUAGUGUAUGAAUAAGCAUCGGCUAACUCCGUGCCAGCAGCCGCGGUAAUACGGAGGAUGCAAGCGUUAUCCGGAUUCAUUGGGUUUAAAGGGUGCGUAGGCGGCUUUUUAAGUCAGUGGUGAAAUCCUGCCGCUUAACGGUAGAAUUGCCAUUGAUACUGAAAAGCUUGAGUACAGUUGAGGUAGGCGGAAUGUGUAGUGUAGCGGUGAAAUGCUUAGAUAUUACACAGAACACCGAUUGCGAAGGCAGCUUACUAAACUGUUACUGACGCUGAUGC
rnacentral:rRNA from 1 species